UACGUAGGGUGCAAGCGUUAAUCGGAAUUACUGGGCGUAAAGCGUGCGCAGGCGGUUUUGUAAGUCUGUCGUGAAAUCCCCGGGCUCAACCUGGGAGUUGCGAUGGAGACUGCAAGGCUAGAAUCUGGCAGAGGGGGGUAGAAUUCCACGUGUGAGCAGUGAAAUGCGUAGAGAUGUGGAGGAACACCGAUGGCGAAGGCAGCCCCCUGGGUCAAGAUUGACGCUCAUGCACGAAAGCGUGGGGGAGCAAACGAGG
rnacentral:rRNA from 1 species